rnacentral:rRNA from 1 species
GAGUUUGAUCAUGGCUCAGGACGAACGCUGGCGGCGUGCCUAACACAUGCAAGUCGUGCGAGAAAGCUCCUUCGGGAGUGAGUAAAGCGGCGGACGGGUGAGUAACACGUGAGCGAUCUACCCGGUGGUGGGGGACAACCCAGGGAAACCUGGGCUAAUACCGCAUAUGGCGUGGGCUUGGAAGCCCGGCGUCAAAGCUGGCCUCUUCUUGAAAGCUAGCGCCAUCGGAUGAGCUCGCGGCCUAUCAGCUAGUUGGUGAGGUAACGGCUCACCAAGGCGAUGACGGGUAGCUGGCGUGAGAGCGCGACCAGCCACACUGGGACUGAGACACGGCCCAGACUCCUACGGGAGGCAGCAGUGGGGAGCAUUGCGCAAUGGGCGAAAGCCUGACGCAGCGACGCCGCGUGGGGGAGGAAGGCCUCAGGGUUGUAAACCCCUGUCAGGUGGGACGAACCCCGAGUCGGAUAAUACCCGGCUCGACUGACGGUACCACCAGAGGAAGCUCCGGCUAACUCCGUGCCAGCAGCCGCGGUAAUACGGAGGGAGCAAGCGCUGUUCGGAAUCACUGGGCGUAAAGGGCGCGUAGGCGGUCGCGUAAGUCGGAUGUGAAAUCCCGGGGCUCAACCCCGUGGACUGCACCCGAUACUGCGUGACUAGA